rnacentral:rRNA from 1 species
UAAGUUUCAACAACGGAUCUCUUGGCUCUCGCAUCGAUGAAGAACGCAGCGAAAUGCGAUAAGUAAUGUGAAUUGCAGAAUUCAGUGAAUCAUCGAAUCUUUGAACGCACCUUGCGCUCCUUGGUAUUCCUUGGAGCAUGCCUGUUUGAGUAUCGUGAA